rnacentral:miRNA from 1 species
AGGUCUGCGUUCUAAUCCCCA